UAACGUAACACCAUCUUGGAGAACCGGACUAAUACUCCUACCGAGACUAUCCAAGUAAAAUACGUCUCUCAUACCUGUCUCUGAGGGUGAGACAGGAAUACUAUAACUU
rnacentral:ncRNA from 1 species